rnacentral:rRNA from 1 species
UAGGGAAUAUUAGUAAUGGGCGAAAGCCUGAACUAGCGACACCGCGCGUGCGAAGAAGGCCUUCGGGUUGUAAAGCACUUUUAGAGAGGAUGAGGAAGGACGGUACUCUCUGAAUAAGUCUCGGCUAACUACGCGCCAGCAGCCGCGGUAACACGUAGGAGGCAAACGUUAUCCGGAUUUACUGGGCGUAAAGCGCGUGUAGGUGGUUCUGUAAGUAGGGCGUGAAAGCUCCCGGCUCAACUGGGAGAGGCCGUUCUAAACUGCAGAGCUAGAGGAUGGUAGAGGGAGGUGGAAUUCCGGGUGUGGCGGUGGAAUGCGCAGAUAUCCGGAGGAACACCAGUGGCGAAGGCGACCUCCUGGGCCACUCCUGACACUCAGACGCGAAAGCUAGGGUAGCAAACGG